rnacentral:rRNA from 1 species
UACGAAGGGGGCUAGCGUUGCUCGGAAUUACUGGGCGUAAAGCGCACGUAGGCGGCUUUCUAAGUCGGGGGUGAAAUCCUGGAGCUCAACUCCAGAACUGCCUUCGAUACUGGAGAGCUCGAGUCCGGGAGAGGUGAGUGGAACUGGCGAGUGUAGAGGUGAAAUUCGUAGAUAUUCGCAAGAACACCAGUGGCGAAGGCGGCUCACUGGCCCGGUACUGACGCUGAGGUGCGAAAGCGUGGGGAGCAAACAGGG